UGCCAGCCGCCGCGGUAAGACGAACCGUACGAACGUUAUUCGGAAUUACUGGGCGUAAAGCGCGCGUAGGUGGUCUGUUAAGUCGGAUGUGAAAGCCCCGGGCUCAACCUGGGAACUGCAUUCGAUACUGGCAGACUAGAGUGCGGGAGAGGGAGGUAGAAUUCCAUGUGUAGCGGUGAAAUGCGUAGAUAUGUGGAGGAAUACCAGUGGCGAAGGCGGCCUCCUGGCUCGACACUGACACUGAGGCGCGAAAGCGUGGGAGCAAACAGGAUUAGAUA
rnacentral:rRNA from 1 species